rnacentral:rRNA from 1 species
UACGUAGGGUGCGAGCGUUAAUCGGAAUUACUGGGCGUAAAGGGCUCGUAGGCGGCCAACUAAGUCGGAUGUGAAAUCCCCAGGCUCAACCUGGGAACUGCAUCCGAUACUGGAUGGCUUGAAUCCGGGAGAGGGAUGCAGAAUUCCAGGUGUAGCGGUGAAAUGCGUAGAUAUCAGGAAGAACACCCGUGGCGAAAGCGGCUCUCUGGAACGGUACUGACGCUGAGACGCGAAAGCGUGGGGAGCGAACAGG